GGGGAGAUGGCUAAGUGGUUAAGAGCACUGGCUGCUCUUCCAGAGGACCAGGGUUCAAUUCCCAGCCCCU
rnacentral:tRNA from 1 species